UAAAUUGCUGAUUAUGCACAAAAUAACUAAUAUGCCUGGCAGAAAUUUAAUGGUCUUAUUUCCUAAAAAAAAUAAACAUGGGAUGAAAAACUAUGCUUAAUAUAAUAUAAUUAUUGUAGUUUUCAUAAGGACUGUCCUUCUUUUCUGUAAAUAUAAUACAUUUUAAUUCACUCACCCCCCACGAAAACACGAUUUCAGCCAUAUUUUGUCGUCUUGCUUGCUUUUUAUCGCCGAAUCUCGCACACAUCAUCCAAUUGUUGUACUUUCACAUAAUGAUAGAUGGCUAAAGAAGAUUUCAACAAAAUUUCAUGACGUUUUGAAACAGUGCAGUGUAUUUUAUCUUCGAUAUCGUGUCUUUCGAUAUUUCGUCAAAUUGCCGCCAUUUUAAUAGCUCGCCGCUUCUCUGCCCGAUAAAUGCCACUUCUUCGUCUUCCUGUGUGUUUAUAUUACAGUAUCCAAGAGUAGUUGAACGUUGAAUAUUCCCAAUCGAAAGAAUGAAAAGAUUAGUUGGGUUUUGAUUGCAAAACCCUCUAGGUAAAAAAUAAAAUACAAAACAUUUGAAAGUCACGCGCAAUCUUCACGAAAACUUCUCGUGGACACAUGACAGGGGGGGUUGAAUAUUUUCACGAAACGUUUGUUCGCCACCACAGCAAC